CCUACGGGAGGCAGCAGUGGGGAAUAUUGGGCAAUGGAGGAAACUCUGACCCAGCAACGCCGCGUGAAUGAUGAAGGUCUUCGGAUUGUAAAGUUCUUUUCUAAGGGAAGAAGAAAGUGACGGUACCUUAGGAAUAAGCCUCGGCUAACUACGUGCCAGCAGCCGCGGUAAUACGUAGGAGGCAAGCGUUAUCCGGAAUGACUGGGCGUAAAGGGUGCGUAGGUGGUUUGACAAGUUGGUAGCGUAACUCCGAGGCUUAACCUCGGCACUACCACCAAAACUGUUAGACUCGAGUGCAGGAGGAGGAAAUGGAAUUCCUAGUGUAGCGGUGGAAUGCGUAGAUAUUGGGAGGAACACCAGUGGCGAAGGCGAUUUGCUGGACUGUAACUGACACUGAGGCACGAAAGCGUGGGGAGCGAACAGGAUUAGAUACCCUGGUAGUC
rnacentral:rRNA from 1 species